CUCUUGUCUGAGGAAGAAGCCCAGAAGAGGAGGGAGAGGAGAGAAAAGGAGUCUGGAAUGGCUCUUUCUCAGGUAAAGUCAUAUUCUCAGUUGAUUUUUCUGUCUUUCCAGAAAUGCCCUUCUUUGGACUCGCUGGUCUCGUCUGAAGUGUCCUGCCUGACACCUGUACAGUCACAGUCACCCGGGUCCUUCCCUCAGGGCCUGUCACCUCCACUUAGAUCCCAUCUCCCCAUGACCUGGGACUUGUGAAGAGGCUCCACUGGGCCUAGUCCUGGGCAGGGCUUCACACCCAUGGACUGGAGAUGGGGUGCCGGUGCUACUGGGCAGCAGGGAUUACUGAGGGCCCCCAUCUGGAUGCACUGUCUGCUCUCUGAAAACCAGGAUAAAGAAGCUGUACAUGCAAGUCAGAUACGAUGAGGUCUUCUCCGGCCGUGUACAGACCUUCCUCCCGCUCUGUCACGUGAGUACCGAAGGCGGCCGGGCGUCCAGCUCCUUCAUCUGGCUCUGCUCUCAGCUGCUCGUCUGAGAUUUCCCGGAGCUCGGGCACUUUGGCCGGGUCUUCCUCAUGAGAACCAUCAGAAGACCUCUAAUGGAAAGAAUCCUUAAACGGCCUUGUUUGCUGAGGGACGAAAUAAGCACUUCUGGGAAAUCGCUAAGAUCAAAACUGCCUUCUGCACGCUGUGGGCUCACACGACUGUCACGGCCGCUCAGGUCUAAGCGGUGUGUUGGCAACAGACCUGCACAGACUGGACAGGAGCUGCUCUCUGCAUAUGUUUAGUUCUUUAGUUCUUAACUGCUACAAAAUCCUGGAAAACAGUUAAAUAAAUAGAAACAGAAAACAGACCCUCAAGACUGUCCAGUCCUCACACAAAGGCACCUCGCGCCGUUGUGGGAAGACCCGCCAGAGAAAGGAGGUCCACCCAAGACGCCCCCGGACCACCGUAACUCAGACCAGCUUUCACCCCUCCGCCCCUGACCCCGGCAUGCGAGAAGGGAACGCACCUUCUCAAGAUCCAGGGAAGUCCAAGAUACCUUCCUGAACG